CAGAAAACAUUUUUCAACCAGCGAUUGAGUUGUGAGACACUGCUGUAGAGCUCAUCACUCCCCCUAACUGGAAGGGGGCCAGUGACAAUUACUCGAUACCGACACAUCUUUCUAGCUGAUUUACACGCUGAAGCUAUGUUGCGCUUGGUGACCUCUGACUGUUUCAUCCUAACAUCGUUGGUGCCGACGUGGAUAACAAUAUCUCUAUACUCUCUACACUCGCCAGUUUUAGCUUUAGCCAGCACCAUCUUCAGAUUAGCCUUAACCUCGGAAGCCCUGCCCCCUGGUAAACAGUGUAUGAUUGCUGGAUGAUUUUUUUAAAAGUCUAAUACUGCGGGUAAUGGAGUCGCCAAUGGCUAGGGUUUUCAAUUUGUCAGAGCUAAUGGUGGGAAGCUUGGGCGUCUCAGACCCCGUAACGGGAGGAGUAGAGACAAGAGAAGGCUCGGCCUCAGACUCCAACGCUGCAUAAUGGGGAAAACCGGUUGAAAGUUUCUGUCGGCUGAAUGAGCGAGAAACCAUGAGAAAGUUGUCCGGCUGCGGGGACCGUGCGAUGGGAUUUAUACUAACGUCACUAUCUGUAUUUACUGGUGGCACAGACGCUGUUUCAUCCUUUGCUACACUGACAUUACCCUUACCUAACGAUUGCGUCUGAAGCUGGGCUUGUAGCACAGCUAUCCUCGCCAUAAGGCGCUCGUUCUCCUGUAUAUUAUGAGUACAGCGACUGCAAUUAGAAGGCAUCAUGUUACCACUUAGCUUCGGUUGUUGGAGGUCCUGACGAACCAUGUCCAGUUAAAGCGUCCGAAGUGAAAAGUUGAAUGAAAAAAAGUUGAGUGAGGGAAAAGCCAAAAAUAUAAAUGGUAAUUAAAAAGUAAAAAUCGUAAAGUUGUCAGGUAGCAAAGUAAGAUUGCCAACAAAACGCACAAAACAAACAGCAACACGUAAACAAGUCUGCAAGUUGUUAAACAUUUUACUUGACCUUGUUUCAAUGUUAAUAGUAAAAUGGUAUGUUUGAAUAAAAUGUGAAGCCACAGUCCAACAAUUCCUGCCAGAACAUUGACUACUCCUGGUAUAUGAAGGCUAAUGCCUUUCAGUAAGAACAAGUCUACCAUCCAGAUGCCUACCUCAAUGUCCCUGCUUAGAUUUGGAAACAAACUGGUCGAUUCAGCUGAGCUAUCAUGCCAACACAUUUAGAUUUGCUGUGAUUUUGAGAUUUUCUCCAUUGCCAAGAUAAUCCAUUGUGGCCUUUCAAGAAGCUGAUUAAACAGCAUGAUCAUUACAUGGGUGCACCUUGUGGCAGGGACAUUAAAAGGCCAUAAUGUCACAGAUGUCCCUAAGUUUUGAGGAAGCAUACAAGUGGCAUGCUGACUGCAGGAAUGUCCACUAGAGCUGUUGCCAGAGAAUUUAAGGUUAAUUUCUCUACCACAGCCCAGGACCUCCACAUCCGGCUUCCUCACCUGCAGGAUCCUCUGAGACCAGCCACCCAGACAGCUGAUGAAACUGGGGGUUUGCACAGCUGAAAAUUUCUGCACAAAUUGUCAGAAACCGCCUCAGGGAAACUCAUCUACGUCCUCACCAGGGUCUUGACCCUACGGCAGUUUGGUGAUGUAAUCAACUUCAGUGGGCAAAUGCUCACCUUCGAUGGCCAUUGGCACGCUGGAGAAGUAUGUUCUUCACAGAGGAAUACUUGUUUCAACUGUACUGGGCAGAUGGCAGACAGUGUGUAUGGCGUCGUGUGGAUGAGCGGUUUGCUAAUGUCAAUGUAGUGAACAGAGUGCCCCAUGGUGGGGUUAUGGUAUGGGCAGGCAUAAGCUACGGACAACAAACAGUUGUAUUAUAUUAAUGUAAAUUUGAAUGCACAGAGAUACCGUGACGAGUUCCCGAGGCUCAUUGUCAUGCCAUUCAUCUGCCGCCAUCACCUCAUGUUUCAGCAUGAUAAUGCACUGCCCCAUGUCGCAAGGAUCUGUACACAAUUCCUAGAAGCUGAAAAUGUCCCAGUUCUGGGCCUCCCGGGUGACGCAGUGGUUAAGGGUGCUGUACUGCAGCGCCAGCUGUGCCACCAGAGACUCUGGGUUCGCGCCCAGGCUAUGUCGUAACCGGCCGCGACCGGGAGGUCCGUGAGGCGAUGCACAAUUGGCCUAGCGUCGUCCGGGUUAGGGAGGGUUUGGCCGGUAGGGAUAUCCUUGUCUCAUCGCGCACCAGCAACUCCUGUGGCGGGCCGGGCGCAGUGCACGCUAACCAAGGUUGCCAGGUGCACUGUGUUUCCUCCGACACAUUGGUGCGGCUGGCUUCCGGGUUGGAUGCGUGCUGUGUUAAGAAGCAGUGCGGCUUGGUUGGGUUGUGUAUCGGAGGACACAUGACUUUCAACCUUCGUCUCUCCCCAGCCCGUACGGGAGUUGUAGCGAUGAGACAAGAUAGUAGCUACUAACAAUUGGAUUCCACGAAAUUGGGGAGAAAAAGGGGUCAAAUUAAAAUAGAAUUUAAAAUUUAAAAUUUCCUAGUUCUUCCAUGGCCUGCAUACUCACCAGACAUGUCAUCCAUUGAGCUAGUUUGGGAUGCUCUGGAUCGACGUGUACGACAUUGGGUUCCAGUUCCCGCCAAUACCCAGCAACUUCGCACAGCCUUUGAAGAGGAGUGGAACAGCAUUCCACAGGCCACAAUGAACAGUCUGAUCAACUCAAUGCAAAGGAGAUGUGUUGCGCUGCAUGAGGCAAAUGGUGGUCACACCAGAUACUGACUGGUUUUCUGAUCCACAACCCUAACUUUAAAAAAAGGUAUGUCCUUCCCAGUCAUUUGGAAUCCGUAGAUCAGGGCCUAAUGAAUUUAUUUCAAUUGACUGAUUUCCUUAUGAACUGUAACCCAGUAAAAUCUUUGCAAUUGUUGCAUGUUGAAUUUAUAUUUUUGUUCAGUGUUUUUUAUAUAUAUAUAUAUUUACAUACAGUGGGGAGAACAUACAGUGGGGUACACUUCAAAUGUGAGAGACGGAAUCUAAAACAAAAAUCCAGAAAAUCACAUUGUAUGAUUUUUAAGUAAUUAAUUUGCAUUUGGUACAGAAACCUUUGUUUGCAAUUACAGAGAUCAUACGUUUCCUGUAGUUCUUGACCAGGUUUGCACACACUGCAGCAGGGAUUGGCAACGCCGUUUUGCAGAUACCCAGCUGGGGCCUGCCCGCUGACACAGGUGGUUUGCUUUGGCCUCCUGGCCCCUGCUCCCCCAUCUUCCAGUAAUCCGACCAGAUCCCAACAUCAUGCCACAGCCAACCCCAUCUCAUGUCCCGCCUGGAGAACCUCCUGGAGAGGGUACGCUGCUCCACGGCUGCAGCCCAGAACCACUGAAAAGAGAAAGAGGGCCCGUCCCUCCAGAAGGUCCCCUGGGAUGAGAUGCCAUUAUGGAGGAUGGAGAGGUCCUGGUCUACUUCCCCAAGGAGGGACUGAAGAACUUCCAGCCCCCUGCAGAGUGGACAGAGGAGGUCAGACUCACACACCAGGAGAAGCAGCAGGAGACGCAGGGAGCCAGUCCAGGAAGACUUGCAGCUCUCUCUCGGCCGGAUCCCCCCACACCCUGCCCCACCUUCGACUUCACACACACCCCCUCGCCCCAGAAGGUCCUCCACAGUCUUCAGGAUGAGAGGGCCCACAGCCAGGGGUGGGAGGAGCAGCUGCAGCGCUGGCUAGAAGUGGCUAACUCUCCAUGACUAACUGCAUGUCCCCCAACGGUACUGCUGCUGCACAGGUACAAUGUUAAGAUGGCGCUAAAGAGGAUGGCUGACAUUUUACAUUUACCUAACCAACUGUGCUAUUUUUUUAUAUAUUUUUUGCGUUGUUUGUACAUAAUGUUGCUGCUACUGUCUCUUAUGACCAAAAAUAACUUCUGGGCAUCAGAACAGCAAUUACUCACCACGCACUGGAAGAAGCUUUUUCCUUUAACGAGUCCGAUGAGAAGGAUACACUGCUUUCCCGGGAACAGGCCCAAAACCCUGUCAUUUGAGGGGGCGGCAGGUAGAGCGUUGGACCAGUAACCGAAAGGUUGCUAGAUUGAAUCCCUGAGCUGACAAGGAAGUACCAGUGACUCGCUCAAUACGGAAGUGGUCAGAUGACGCAGAUGCUAUGCUACAGGACUGUUUUGCUAGCACAGACUGGAAUAUGUUCCGGGAUUCAUCCGAUGACAUCGAGGAGUACACCACCUUAGUCAUCGGCUUCAUCAAUAAGUACAUCGACGACGUCAUCCCCACAGUGACCGUACGUUCAUAUCCCAACCAGCAGCCAUGGAUUACAGGCAACAUCCGCAUUGACCUAAAGGCUAGAGCUGCCGCUUUCAAGGAGGGAGACACUAAUCCGGACUCUUAUAAGAAAUCCUGCUAUGCCCCCAGACGAACAAUCAAACAAGCAAAGCGUCAAUACGGGACUAAGAUUGAAUCCUACUACACUGGCCCUGAUGCUCGUCCGAUGUGGCAGGGCUUGAAAACUAUUACGGACUACAAAGGGAAACCCAGAUGCGAGCUGCCCAGUGACGCGAGCCUACCUACCAGACGAACUAAAUGCCUUUUUAAGCUCGCUUCGAGGCAAGCAACACUGAAGCAUCCACGAGAGUACCAGCUGUUCUGGAUGACUAUGUAAUAACGCUCUCGGUAGCCGAUGUGAGCAAGACCUAAAGGUCAACAUUCACAAAGCCGCAGGGCCAGACGGAUUACCAGGACGUCUACUCAAAGCAUGCGUGGACCAACUGGCAGGUGUCUUCACUGACAUUUUCAACCUCUCCCUGACCAAGUCUGUAAUACCUACAUGUUUCAAGCAGACCACCAUAGUCCCUGUGCCCAAGGAAGCGUCGGUACCUACUCACGUAGGUAGGCAUUACGUGCUUUGAAAAUGCAGGGGACCAGUGGAUCACAGCUAUGGGACACAGCUUUUGCAGUACAGGCCUUUCUAGAGGCAGGGGAUCAGGACAGCUCAGUUUAGAAGAGUGCCUUAAACACGCCCACAAGUUCCUAACCAUCACACAGCCAGGUCCUGGGGAGUGUGCUUCACCUGUGGGGUUUGGUUCGGCUUGGAGGCCUUGGCCUGCAUGGGUCAUAGCUACCACAAUGGAGGGCCUGUGACUUCCUGAUGGCCCUCCAGAUGAAGGACAGGGGGCUGGGGGUGAGGACUUUGAGUCCUGUGAGCAACGUCGCUAUGUCCAGAGCGCUAACUCCCAGAGCAGGCCAACACCUGCUUGGCCUCAUGGCUGCCAGGAGAGCAUCUCGAGUAUGUUCAAUAAGAGCUGUGCCAUCAGCUACACCUCCUACAGGAACGUAUUCAGAGUGUGGACGCUGUGCCGCCUUCUCCAACCUUUACCUUUACCCCUCCAGCCCUCUGGCUGUGAAGGUCAAGCUGUGAGGUCAGGAGUCAGCAGGUGUGCUCAGUGUCAUUUCUGAAAUCUUUACAUUGAGAACAGUGGGAUGUUAAUGAAAGGUGCUGAAACAGGAGUCCUGAAAUGACCUCAACCCUGGGAUUACUUUACCAUGCAUGCUAUUUAACAUUCUUUUGCCUUAUGUUUUUGGUGGGACUGAACUCGUUGAAACAACCUUUUAGCUGAGAAAUAGUGUCAUUUUGGCUCCUGUAUUAUGACAUUAAAUCAUACCCUUUCAUCAGUCUGUAAAUAGUGCUGAAAUAGAAAAAUGUCCAUGUUCCCUAUUAAUAUUAACCUUAGUUUCUGAAAAUAUAUUGAUCAGUGGCAAUAUGUGCCGUUUAAGAUGAGGGAGGACUGUUUUUUUUCAUGAGCAUGGCCAUGUUUCUAUUACAGUAUAUUGGAUGACUCUCAUUCAUAUUCCAGUCACCCAGUUCAAUGUAACAGCGAUAGGUUUAGGCUACUACACGAUACUCAAAUGUUCCCUAUUGUAACAAAGUGCGCCGAGAGUCGGGAAACAAGUUCAGGGAGUGAGUGUUAUUAAUGGAAAAAAACGCAACAUAAUUCAAAACAAACACGAACAACGCACAGACAAGGUAAUCAAGGAGGUGAUGGAGUCCAGGUUCGUGUCAUAUUGCGCUAAUGCGCGUAACGAUGGUGACAGGUGUGCGCCUUAACGAGCCGCCUGGUGACCUAGAGGCCGGAGAAGGAGCACACGUGACGGUACCCCCUUCCCGACGCGUGGCUCCAGCCGCAGGACGCCAACCAAGAUGACGAUCCCGGGGAUCAGGAGCGGACCGGUCACCUCUGCUAAGCACAGGAGCAUGGCAACCUAGAGCGCCGGAGAGAGAGCAUACCUGACGGUACCCCCUCCCCAGCGCGUUCGGCUCCAGCCGCAGGACUCCAACCACAGAGUGUCAUAUUGCGCUAAUGCGCGUAACGAUGGUGACAGGUGUGCACCUUAACGAGCAGCCUGGUGACCUAGAGGCUGGAGAGGGUGCACACGUGACACCUAUACCCUUCACGAGGAUGCUACAACCUAGCCUUUGAAUGAAAGUUUACAUCGUAGGUGCACUCAGGUCGAGAGACAAAUUUGAGGUGACAGACCAUGACAUUCAAUACGCCUUGCACACUCUUGCCUGCAUCUAGCUGAUAUACAGUACCACUAAAAAAAAAUCUGCAUUGUAGAAUAAUAGUGAAGACCUCAAAACUAUGAAAUAACACAUAUGGAGUCAUGUAGUAACCAAAAAAGUGUUAAACAAAUCUAAAUAUAUUUGUAAAAUAUUUUGCCCUGAUGCCAGCUUUGAACACUCUUGGCAUUCUCUCACCCUGCUUCACCUGGAAUGCUUUCCCAAUGGUCUUGAAGGAGUUCCCACAUAUGCUGAGCACUUGUUGGCUACUUUUCCUUCACUCUGCGGUCCAACUCAUCCCAAACCAUCUCAAUUGGAUGAGGUCAGGUGAUUUUGGAGGCCAGGUCUGAUGCAGCACUCCAUCACUCUCCUUCUUGGUCAAAUAGCCCUUACACAGCCUGGAGGUGUGUUGGGUCAAUGUCCUGUUGAAAUACAGAUGGGAUGGUGUAUCGCUGCAGAACACUGUGGUAGCCAUGCUAGUUAAGUGUGCCUUGAAUUCUAAAUAUAUCACAGACAGUGUCACCAACCAUGCACCAUCACACCUCCUCCUCCAUGCUUCACGGUGGGAACCACACAUGCAUAGAUCAUCUGUUCACCUACUCUGCGUCUCACAAAGACAUGGCGGUUGAAAACAAAAAUCUUAAAUUUGGACUCAUUAGAUCAAAGGACAGAUUUCCACCAGUCUAAUGUCCAUUGCUCGUGUCUCUUGGCCCAAGCAAGUCUCUUCUUAUUGGUGUCCUUUAAUAGUGGUUUCUUUGCAGCAAUUUGAUCAGGAAGCCCUGAUUCAUGCAGUCUCCUCUGAACAGUUGAUGUUGAGAUGUCUCUCUGAAGCAUUGAUUUGGGCUGUAAUUUCUGUGGCUGGUAACUUUAUUGAACUUAUCCUCUGCAUCAGAGGUACCUCUGGGUCUUCCUUUCCUUUGGUAGUCCUCAUGAGAGCCAGUUUCAUCAUAGCGCUUGAUGGUUUUUGCGAAUGCACUUGAAAAAACUUUCAACGUUCAUGAAAUGUUCCGGAUUGACUUACCUUCAUGUCUUAAAGUAAUGAUGGACUGUCGUUUCUCUUUGCGUAUUUGAGCUGUUCUUGCAAUAAUAUAAACUUGGUCUUUUACCAAAUAGGGCUAUCUUCUGGAUAACACCCCUACCUUGUCACAACACAACUGAUUACCUCAAACGCAUUAAGAAGGAAAUGAACUUUUAACCAGGCACACCUGUUAAUUGAAAUGCAUUCCAGGUUGGAAAAGCAUUCCUCAUGAAGCUGGUUGAGAGAAUGCCAAGAGUUUUCAAAGCUGUCAUCAAGGCAAAGGGUGGCUACUUUCAAGAAUCUAAAAUAUUAUCAGUUUUUUUAACACUUGUUUGGUUACUACAUGAUUCCAUAUGUGUUUUUUCAUAGUUUUGAUGUCUUCACUAUUAUUCAACAAUGUAGAAAAUAAUAAAAAUAAAGAAAAACCCUUGAAUGAGUCGGUGUGUCCAGACUUUUGUCUGGUACUGUAGGGUGUAAUCAUGAGUCCAAGAGUUUAUUUUGGACAAAUUCAGGAAUGUUUAUCCCCAUUUUGGCUAAGUAAGUGAAACUGAAAUUUAACAAAAAUGACUCUCUCGCUUCUCCUUCAUUUUGGAAUAAAUUCAUUU
ensembl:lncRNA